UACAGAGGUCUCAAGCGUUGUUCGGAUUCAUUGGGCGUAAAGGGUGCGUAGGUGGCGCUGUAAGUCGGGUGUGAAAUUUCGGAGCUUAACUCCGAAACUGCAUUCGAUACUGCGGUGCUUGAGGACUGGAGAGGAGACUGGAAUUCAUGGUGUAGCAGUGAAAUGCUUAGAUAUGACAUAGAACACCAAUUGCGAAGGCAGCUCACUACACGAAUAUUGACACUGAGGCACGAAAGCGUGGGGAUCA
rnacentral:rRNA from 1 species